rnacentral:tRNA from 1 species
GGGCUUAUAGUUUAGUUGGUAAAACAGGCCCCUCAUAAGGGUUAGAGCGUAGGUUCGAGUCCUACUAAGCCUA